AUUGCUUCUCUGCCUUUUGGCUAAGAUCAAGUGUAGUACUGGGCCUUAUGGCUAGGUACCUCAUUUUUAUGAUCGUCUGUGAAGAAGGAGAAACACUUGGUCCUCUGGCUGGCUAAGAUAAAGUGUAGUCACACUGGGCCUUUU
rnacentral:snRNA from 1 species